UUUUUAGACCCCAACCCCUAUCAAAAAAUGGCGGAUCCUUUUCCUCUAUUCUUCAUCCUAUUGAAGAACCAAAAUGAAGAACAGACCUUCAUCGAAGAACCAGACCCCUAAUCUUUUUCCCCUUUCUUCGAAGAAGCAGCACUGCUGCUGAUUUCUUUUUCUUCGUUUCCAGAAAUAAACAGAAAGGUCAAACCCCUCCAGCUCCCUUCAACUGCUUCUGCUUCAUUUUUCUGAAACACACACGCCUAAGCUGCUGGAAGAAGAAGCGUGCACUUCAAAAUUUAAGACCGAAAAAACCAAAAAGAAAAGAUAACGAAAAGCCAUAAAAAAAGGGGCGAACAGUAGCGUGAAGGUUCAUUUCAGAUUCAAAUGGUUCAGAAUCUCUCUUCCUUUGGUUUUGGGCUUGAUUUUUUAUGGAGUUCAAGUGAAUUGUUGAGCUGUAUUGUUGCUGCUCGUGGCUGCUGGUCCUUGCUUCGCGAUUUGCGUUGAUGUAGCACUGCUGUCUCUGCUGUUUGGCUCGCAAAAUAGCAGCUGAAUUCCCUUCAGCGCCUUUUCUGCCGCUCUAUCGAUUGUUUCAAGGUUUAUUUGUCGAAGUAAUUAUAGUCACUGCAGGGGCUGAUCAUUUAGCAGCUGCGAUCACUAGUUGGUCACAUUUGUGAAUUGAAGACAACACACUCAUGCUAAGUGAUUCAAAUGUCCUAUGGUUUUUUUCCC